rnacentral:lncRNA from 1 species
GAACAUAUUUACUAGUUAUAUCAUCUGCAAUUGCCUGAAUCUCAAGACGUUCCUCAAACCAAUCAUAUACUUUAUUGAGAUAGGUAACUAACCCUAGUCCCCCUCUAAGAGCCGUAUAUGAAAAUUUCAUCUCGUACGGCUCAAGCAGAAAAACAAAAAAAUUCAAGGAAUAUUAGAAAAAAGGUUCAAAGCUUCAUCAGCCACUGAAUUGGGUCGAUUUUCCUUGAAGAUAUCAAAUAAGAAAAAUCCGGAAUAUCUUUUUUGUGAUGAUAAUGCCAAAAAUCUCAAGUUGGCAUGUCUUUCUUUCUUCCUUUCCCUUAUGUUGGUCAUUAGAGGCUUCUUGACUUUUCUCUUCCCUAUAAAGGAUUUGUUUUUUUAUGCAUAACAUAGAAAUUAUCUUGUUGAGAUCCUAUGAAUCAGUUCAAUUAAAACCUUAGAUUCAUACUAGAGCCACGAUGAUUUCAUCUCAAGCUAAAGAAAAGGCAAGGGUUCUUCGAAUAAGAACCGCUUGAUAAUCAUUUAUUGAAUCAGUGUAAUGACUCGACAAAAUAGAGAGAGAAAAGUUGUCUUUUGGGCAAACAAAAUUGGAAGGAAGAAAAUUUAUUUUCUAUUUUUAUUUAAGAACUACUUGAAUUUUUCAGUCUGGUCGCAAGGUCUUAAUAGUGAGUAUGAAUCAUAGUUCCAUUUGUUUUGAUCCACUUUAUCUAUUUCGUGCUCCAGAUACUAGAAUAAAUAAUAUCUGAUGAAUUAGAAUCAUCUUGAUAGAGAUAACAGGCCCUUUCUAUGUAUUAUCAAUAGGAUCAAUUCUAACAAGUCACACACUCAUAUUCCAGAGAUACCGAAACAAAAAAAUUCCGCGGUCGAACUACCAUAAUAUCUAGAAAUGUAGAUCUUAAACUAGAAAGGCUUUUUUGGAUGGAAAAACUCUGACUUUCGAGUUUUAGUUAGUAGAAACCUAA